UUAAGUUCAGCGGGUAUCCCUACCUGAUCCGAGGUCAAACUGGAGAUUUAUUCCCUGGGAGGGGGUUCUGGCAGGACCUUGCCGGCGGGAGUCGCGUUUGAGGUGCUCAUCACGCUACUGGCCCGUGGCACGUCCGCCACUGCAUUGCAGGCAGAGGGUUCUGAUACCCUCAGGCCCAAGACCAAGCUGGGGCUUCGAAG
rnacentral:misc_RNA from 1 species